GCUCUUCAUAUCUCAAUAAUUUGCAGGUGCAGUUUUCUCUGCUGAGCAUGGGGAGAGAUCAGUUAGAGAUAAAGAAUAUAUGUGAUUCUCUGGGCAUUCGCUUGAUCGCUUAUAGUCCUUUAGGACUUGGUAUGCUUACUGGGAAAUAUUCACCAUCGAAGCUUCCAACCGGGCCUCGGGGCUUGUUGUUCAGACAAAUCCUACCUGGAUUGGAGCCUUUACUGGGUUCCUUGAGUGAGAUUGCUAAAAACGACGCAAAAGCAUGGCGCAAGUAGCGAUAAAUUGGUGUGUGAGCAAAGGGACGAUACCAAUACCAGGAGUGAAGUCAAUAAAACAAGCACGAGAAAAUUUGGGUGCUCUUGGGUGGCGCCUCUCUUCAGAUGAGUUGCUUCAGUUAGAAUUUGCAGCACAGGAGUCUCCUCGCAGCAUGAUCCAGAACAUUUUCCAAACCAGAUAAAUAUUAAAGGGUGAAACGCAGCCUCGAUACAAGAUGAAGACCUCGAAACACUUCCCAUUGGUUGAACGUUUCAAUGGUUAUCCGGACGAGCCAGAUGUUCAGGGAAAAUUAGGUGUUCCAUAUUUUGGUCGCCCUUGCUAAACUUUACUGAAGCACCACAACUGAUUAGAGCGUCAGGGCACUGCAUUGUAAAUGCACGUUAAAAACAUCAUUUGCUGGCUGCCGUGAAGAAUACUUUCGCCACAUCGCCUCUAAGAUGCGAGGAGUGCAAUUUACUUUUAAGUGUUAGAACGAGCCAUUUAAUCUUUCCUAGUAAAUAAUUUAAAAUAUUUGGUUCUCUUUA